UACGUAGGGUGCAAGCGUUAAUCGGAAUUACUGGGCGUAAAGCGUGCGCAGGCGGUGAUGUAAGACAGGUGUGAAAUCCCCGGGCUUAACCUGGGAACUGCAUUUGUGACUGCAUCGCUGGAGUGCGGCAGAGGGGGAUGGAAUUCCGCGUGUAGCAGUGAAAUGCGUAGAUAUGCGGAGGAACACCGAUGGCGAAGGCAGCCCCCUGGGUCAAGACUGACGCUCAUGCACGAAAGCGUGGGGAGCAAACAGG
rnacentral:rRNA from 1 species